rnacentral:rRNA from 1 species
GAAAGUAAGAAAGGGCGUAUGGUGGAUGCCUAGGCUCACAGAGGCGAUGAAGGACGUGAUAAGCUGCGAUAAGCUUCGGGUAGGUGCAAAUAACCUUUGAUCCGAAGAUUUCCGAAUGGGACAACCCGGCCGUCUGAAGGACGGUCACUCACGCUAAGCGUGAGAGCUAACGCAGGGAACUGAAACAUCUUAGUACCUGCAGGAAGAGAAAAUAAAUAAUGAUUCCCUUAGUAGUGGCGAGCGAACGGGGAAGAGCCCAAACCGUGACUGUGGCAACGCAGCUGCGGGGUAGUAGGACCGCGACAUUGUAUGCAUGCAGUGAGCAGAAUCUUCUGGAAAGAAGAACCGCAGAUGGUGAAAGUCCAGUAUGCGAAGCUAAUUGCAACAUAGCGGUAUCCUGAGUAACGCGGAACACGAGUAAUUCUGCGCGAAUCCGCCGGGACCAUCCGGUAAGGCUAAAUACUCCUGUGAGACCGAUAGUGAACCAGUACCGUGAGGGAAAGGUGAAAAGCACUUCGAUAAGAAGAGUGAAAUAGUUCCUGAAACCAUACGCCUACAAGCGGUCGGAGCUGCUUUAUGCAGUGACGGCGUGCCUUUUGCAUAAUGAACCUACGAGUUACCAUCACCAGCAAGGUUAAGGGCCAUUAGUCCCCAAGCCGCAGUGAAAGCGAGCCUGAAUAGGGCGUUUGUCUUUUAGAGACAAAGCGCACAUUAGUGCGUUAUAGUUGGUGGGGGUAGACGCGAAACCAAGUGAUCUACACUUGACCAGGUUGAAGUUCCGGUAACACGGAAUGGAGGACCGCACCAAUAAGCGUUGAAAAGCUUCUGGAUGAGUUGAGUGUAGGAGUGAAAGGCCAAUCAAACUUGGAGAUAGCUCGUACUCCCCGAAAGGCAUUUAGGUGCCGCGUGCGAUGUUCUCCGUGAGAGGUAGAGCGACCGAUAGGUCAAGAGGGCUUCACCGCCUAUCGCGACCUGACGAACUCCGAAUGCUCACGGACCGUAGUCGUGCAGUAAGGGGGCGGGUGCUAAGGUCCGUCCCCGAGAGGAGAAGAAUCCUGACCGUCGUCUAAGGUCCCGAAAUUCUGUCUAAGUUAGUCUAACGAAGUCUGGUCCCGGUGACAGCUAGGAUGUUGGCUUGGAAGCAGCCAUUCAUUCAAAGAGUGCGUAACAGCUCACUAGUCGAGGGUCCGGGCAUGGAUAAUAAUCGGGUAUAAGUCAGAUACCGAAGUCGCGGGAUAGCAUUGUAUAUAAAAAGUAUCGGUAGGGGAGCAUUCUAUAUGCGUUGAAUGGUGAUAUUGAUUGAUCCUGGAGCGUAUAGAAACGCAAAUGUAGGUAUAAGUAACGAUAAAGGGGGUAAGAUUCCCCCUCGCCGUAAGACUAAGGUUUCCCAGGCGAUGUCAAUCAGCCUGGGGUUAGUCGGGUCCUAAGUCUCAGCCGAAUGGCGAAGGCGAUGGCUUCACGGUUAAUAUUCCGUGACUUGCUCAUUCAGCAAUGUGGAGACGGAGCAGUGACACUGUCGCGCCCUUACGGAUAUGGGCGUUAAAGAAGUUAGGUGUAGAUAGAUGUAGGCAAAUCCGCAUUUAGAGCUGAUCUUCGAUAGUACAGAGUUUUCUUCGGAGAGCUUUGAUAGUACAGGUAAUCAUACUUCCAAGAAAAUCCGCUAAGCUUAAUGUUUGAGCAACCCGUACCGUAAUCGGACACACGUAGUCGGGUAGAACAUACUAAGGCGUUGAGAGAUUCAUGGUUAAGGAACUAGGCAAAUUGACCCCGUAACUUCGGGAUAAGGGGUCCUCAUAGCAAUAUGAGGCGCAGAGAAUAGGUCCAGGCAACUGUUUAACAAAAACACAGGGCUGUGCAAACUCGAAAGAUGAUGUAUACAGCCUGACACCUGCCCGGUGCUGGAAGGUUAAGAGGAGAGCUUAGAUGUAUGUCGACGGUUUGAAUUGAAGCCCCAGUAAACGGCGGCCGUAACUAUAACGGUCCUAAGGUAGCGAAAUUCCUUGUCGGGUAAGUUCCGACCUGCACGAAUGGUGUAAUGAUCCGGACGCUGUCUCAACCAUGAUCUCAGUGAAAUUGUAGUAUCGGUGAAGAUGCCGAUUACCCGCGAUGGGACGAAAAGACCCCGUGAACCUUUACUACAGCUUAGCAUUGACCUUGGUCAUCCGAUGUGUAGGAUAGGCCGGAGGCUUUGAAUCAUGCACGCCAGUGUAUGUGGAGCCAUCCUUGAAAUACGGCCCUUUGGCUGUCUGAGGUCUAACACGUAAUCUCGUGGACAUUGUUUGGUGGGUAGUUUGACUGGGGUGGUCGCCUCCAAAAGCGUAACGGAGGCUUCUAAAGGUACCCUCAGACCGAUUGGUAACCGGUCGUAGAGUGUAAUGGCAUAAGGGUGCUUGACUGAGAGACCUACAAGUCGAUCAGGUAGGAAACUAGAGCAUAGUGAUCCGGUGGUUCCGUAUGGAAGGGCCAUCGCUCAAAGGAUAAAAGGUACUCCGGGGAUAACAGGCUGAUC